rnacentral:rRNA from 1 species
UACGGGGGGGGCAAGCGUUGUUCGGAAUUACUGGGCGUAAAGGGCUCGUAGGCGGCCAACUAAGUCGGACGUGAAAUCCCUCAGCUUAACUGGGGAACUGCGUCUGAUACUGGAUGGCUUGGAUUUGGGAGAGGGAUGCGGUAUUCCAGGUGUAGCGGUGAAAUGCGUAGAUAUCUGGAGGAACACCGGUGGCGAAGGCGGCAUCCUGGACCAACAUUGACGCUGAGGAGCGAAAGCCAGGGGAGCAAACGGG